rnacentral:rRNA from 1 species
CCUACGGGAGGCAGCAGUGGGGAAUAUUGGACAAUGGGGGCAACCCUGAUCCAGCGAUGCCGCGUGUGUGAAGAAGGCCUGAGGGUUGUAAAGCACUUUCGGUAGGGAGGAGAGUUGAUUGGUUAAGAGCUGAUUGAUGAGACGUUACCUACAGAAGAAGCACCGGCUAACUCCGUGCCAGCAGCCGCGGUAAUACGGAGGGUGCGAGCGUUAAUCGGAAUUAUUGGGCGUAAAGGGUGCGUAGGUGGUUGUAUAAGUUAUCUGUGAAAACCCUGGGCUUAACCUGGGGAAGAGAGAUAAGACUGUAUAACUAGAGUAUGGGAGAGGGUAGUGGAAUUUCCGGUGUAGCGGUGAAAUGCGUAGAGAUCGGAAGGAACACCGGUGGCGAAGGCGGCUACCUGGCCUAAUACUGACACUGAGGCACGAAAGCGUGGGGAGCAAACAGGAUUAGAUACCCUGGUAGUCCACGCUGUAAACGAUGUCAACUAGCUGUUGGUCUUAUUGAUAAGAUUAGUGGCGCAGCGAACGCGGUAAGUUGACCGCCUGGGGAGUACGGUCGCAAGAUUAAAACUUCAAAGGAAUUGACGGCNGNGAGNGCGAGACGACGACGAGGAGGAGG